rnacentral:rRNA from 1 species
UACGUAGGGGGCGAGCGUUGUCCGGAAUUAUUGGGCGUAAAGAGCUCGUAGGCGGCCUGUUACGUCUGCUGUGAAAUCCCGGGGCUUAACCCCGGGCGUGCAGUGGAUACGGGCAGGCUGGAGGCAGGCAGGGGAGAACGGAAUUCCCGGUGUAGCGGUGAAAUGCGCAGAUAUCGGGAGGAACACCGGUGGCGAAGGCGGUUCUCUGGGCCUGUACUGACGCUGAGGAGCGAAAGCGUGGGGAGCGAACAGG